UGGGCGGUAUCUUAACGAGCUGCACCAUUUUCAUUUGAUGUAUUUUUUAUAUUAAUAUCUGCCUUGAUCCAUAGAGAGGACGGGGACAGAGGA
rfam:Bacillus sp. VT-16-64 NODE_286, whole genome shotgun sequence.